rnacentral:rRNA from 1 species
CAGCUCGUGUCGUGAGAUGUUGGGUUAAGUCCGCAACGAGCGCAACCCCUACUUGUUAGUUGCCAUCAUUCAGUUGGGCACUCUAGCGAGACUGCCGGUAAUAAACCGGAGGAAGGUGGGGAUGACGUCAAAUCAUCAUGCCCCUUAUGACCUGGGCUACACACGUGCUACAAUGGUUGGUACAACGAGUUGCGAGUCGGUGACGGCGAGCUAAUCUCUUAAAGCCAAUCUCAGUUCGGAUUGUAGGCUGCAACUCGCCUACAUGAAGUCGGAAUCGCUAGUAAUCGCGGAUCAGCACGCCGCGGUGAAUACGUUCCCGGGCCUU